UGCAGUGAAGUCAUCAAUAAAUACAUCUGCCCAUGCUCGCUCGCAGGUGGCAGAACACAUUUGAGAAUUCAAAAUCCUGGGUAGAGGAGGGUAUGAACUCCGUCAGCUUGUUCUGUCACCAGGCGUGAUGUCUGCACACCGUUGUCAUCACAGAGCUGUUUGGUAUCCGCCAAGCUUAGCGUUUCUUCUCAAGUGGGAGCUAGACUGUUCAACAGAAGAAAGCUUCCUCGAGCCCUAGAUAGGAGGAAAAGCUCCUGUCCUUGACUUUAUAAAGUGGACGUUUUGGUCUCUGUACUUGAGUGUACAAGCCUGUGCCUUGCGGCCCUAAGGACCUUUUUUGUUCCUCCUCAGUCCUCUUUGCCUUUCAUUGCCUUCCCCUCUCUCCUCACAGCCCGAGCCACUACCAUAUGCAAAUUAUAAGGUGGAGAGAUGGGAGAGCAAGAGAAGCUGAACAGUUUGAGCACCCUGAAGAGAGCUGGAACUGGAGAGAAAGGGUAGAGGGGAAUAGCCUGAUAUGAGAGUAGCCAUCCCUGCCACCCAAGGCUAUGGUGAAGUCCCAUCCCAUGCUGCUGUUAAAGUCCGUGUCUGGGUCAAUGGCCUUGCAGUAGCUGGGAUCCAUGCAGAUGUCCCUGGUCUGGGCUGCCACCUGGGACCAUGCUGAUACCCAAGGGCUAUGCAGAGCUGGCCCCACCUCUCGCUAGCUGUGGCACUUGGGAGGGCUGGCCCCAACCAUUGUCACCUUCACAGCUGUAGCAUUUGGGAGAGCGGCCCCUGUACCUUGCCUGGGCAGCACAGUAAAGCUGGCCCUGUUGGCAGGAGUCAGGAUACGUGGGCGCAGGCUCCGCCCCCUGCUGGUUGGGGCAUUGGGUGAGAGCUCACCCUGGUGGUGCAGUUGCAGGAGAUCUAGUGGACUGACCAGCUCAGCUACCACCCAGGCCCAGAUUCAGGGCUUUGAGUUGGCUUUUGAGUUGGCCCACUCCACCCUAGCUAUAAACUGCUGGAGGUCGUGAAGGGGCCAGUCCUGCAGAUCCAAAGCUGCAGUAUCUCCACGACACAGGGCAGCAACGGGAUAGCUCAGAGGAGUCCUGAUGAGGAUCCAGUAUUAAUAGUGUAGUAGAAGCCAGAAGCCUCGAACCAGACCAAUGACUCAUUGCAAUGAAGAUUUGCAAGCCGAGAAGUGUGGA
rnacentral:lncRNA from 1 species